rnacentral:rRNA from 1 species
UACGAAGGGGGCUAGCGUUGCUCGGAAUCACUGGGCGUAAAGCGCACGUAGGCGGAUCGCUAAGUCAGGGGUGAAAUCCUGGAGCUCAACUCCAGAACUGUCUUUGAUACUGGCAAUCUCGAGUCCGGGAGAGGUGAGUGGAACUGCGAGUGUAGAGGUGAAAUUUCGUAGAUAUUCGGAAGAACACCAGUGGCGAAGGCGGCUCACUGGACUGGUAUUGACGCUGAGGUGCGAAAAGCGUGGGGGAGCAAAACAGGG